rnacentral:rRNA from 1 species
GACGAACGCUGGCGGCGUGCCUAAUACAUGCAAGUAGAACGCACAGUUUAUACCGUAGCUUGCUACACCAUAGACUGUGAGUUGCGAACGGGUGAGUAACGCGUAGGUAACCUGCCUGGUAGCGGGGGAUAACUAUUGGAAACGAUAGCUAAUACCGCAUAAUAUUAAUUAUUGCAUGAUAAUUAAUUGAAAGGUGCAAUUGCACCACUACCAGAUGGACCUGCGUUGUAUUAGCUAGUAGGUGAGGUAACGGCUCACCUAGGCGACGAUACAUAGCCGACCUGAGAGGGUGAUCGGCCACACUGGGACUGAGACACGGCCCAGACUCCUACGGGAGGCAGCAGGAGGGAAUCGUCGGCAAUGGACGAAAGUCUGACCGAGCAACGCCGCGUGAGUGAAGAAGGUUUUCGGAUCGUAAAGCUCUGUUGUAAGAGAAGAACGGGUGUGAGAGUGGAAAGUUCACACUGUGACGGUAUCUUACCAGAAAGGGACGGCUAACUACGUG